rnacentral:tRNA from 2 species
GGUGAGGUGUCUGAGUGGUCGAAAGAGCACGCCUGGAAAGUGUGUAACGGGCAACUGUUCGAGGGUUCAAAUCCCUCCCUCACCGCCA